UACUCUGUGCUAGGGUGUUCCCGUUUGUUUUCUGCUCGGGCAAUCGGGAAGCCGCGAAGCCUAACCUAGGUCGGGCGUUGGUGAGAGAAUUCGGGGCAGUUUUCUGACUUCCUGCUUGGCCCUCGAAUCGUGGACCCACUAUUUCACAUAAAAGAGCACAACCAUCGAAUCCCGAAAGAGAUGUGUGUGGAGGCGGACGCAGGAUUCCAGAGUAUCAGAGCUGGAACUGACCUCGUGAUGUCUGACCCCUACACUUCAAAUGAGACAAGAGGUCCCAAAUCCAAAUCCAUCCCCAGCUCUCCUAGAAGAUGCAAAUCUGAUCCUGUCUAUAUGGAAUGAUUCAGCAAUUCCCCAGGACUUUCGGGAUGAAGCUUAGAUACCAGCUCUGGCUCCUGUUGGAUGCUUUGAUGCCCUGUGCCUCCACACCUUUGCACAGGAGAUGAAGAUUUUGAUUCUCUUACUGCCUCUUCUCCUCCCCCACCCCCAUUAUGUUUAUAACACAAUUUGUGGCUAACUCCAUGUUCAGUGAUUUCAUUAUUGACUUUGAAAAUAGUUUACUUUUGAGG